UGCAAGUCGAGCGCCCGCAAGGGAGCGGCGAACGGGUUAGUAACACGUGGGAACGUACCCUUUUCUGCGGAAUAGCCUCGGGAAACUGAGAGUAAUACCGCAUACGCCCUUCGGGGGAAAGAUUUAUCGGAGAAGGAUCGGCCCGCGUCUGAUUAGGUAGUUGGUGGGGUAAUGGCCUACCAAGCCUACGAUCAGUAGCUGGUUUUAGAGGAUGAUCAGCAACACUGGGACUGAGACACGGCCCAGACUCCUACGGGAGGCAGCAGUGGGGAAUCUUAGACAAUGGGCGAAAGCCUGAUCUAGCCAUGCCGCGUGAGUGAUGAAGGCCUUAGGGUCGUAAAGCUCUUUCGCUGGGGAAGAUAAUGACUGUACCCAGUAAAGAAACCCCGGCUAACUCCGUGCCAGCAGCUGCGGUAAUACGGAGGGGGUUAGCGUUGUUCGGAAUUACUGGGCGUAAAGCGCGCGUAGGCGGAUAUUUAAGUCGGGGGUGAAAUCCCGGGGCUCAACCCCGGAACUGCCUUCGAUACUGGGUAUCUUGAGGUCGAGAGAGGUGAGUGGAAUUCCGAGUGUAGAGGUGAAAUUCGUAGAUAUUCGGAGGAACACCAGUGGCGAAGGCGGCUCACUGGCUCGAUACUGACGCUGAGGUGCGAAAGUGUGGGGAGCAAACAGGAUUAGAUACCCUGGUAGUCCACACUGUAAACGAUGAAUGCCAGUCGUCGGCAAGCAUGCUUGUCGGUGACACACCUAACGGAUUAAGCAUUCCGCCUGGGGAGUACGGUCGCAAGAUUA
rnacentral:rRNA from 1 species